rnacentral:ncRNA from 1 species
AUCAAAAUUGUGGGAAUUAAUAAUGAAUAAAACAACAGUUAAGGGCUAAAUUCUCAUUCUUGUUGUUGACUUCAUUUGCUAUCCUGACAACCUAUUGAAUGUUAUUUCUACUAUUUUGUUCAUAUUCCAAGGUGUAUUGCCACUUUCAAGCUAUUAGUGCGGACGGGAUAACCCCCCGUC